rnacentral:rRNA from 1 species
UCGACGCACAGCGAAAGGUGCUUGCACCUUUCAAGUGAGUGGCGAACGGGUGAGUAACACGUGGACAACCUGCCUCAAGGCUGGGGAUAACAUUUGGAAACAGAUGCUAAUACCGAAUAAAACUUAGUGUCGCAUGACACAAAGUUAAAAGGCGCUUCGGCGUCACCUAGAGAUGGAUCCGCGGUGCAUUAGUUAGUUGGUGGGGUAAAGGCCUACCAAGACAAUGAUGCAUAGCCGAGUUGAGAGACUGAUCGGCCACAUUGGGACUGAGACACGGCCCAAACUCCUACGGGAGGCUGCAGUAGGGAAUCUUCCACAAUGGGCGAAAGCCUGAUGGAGCAACGCCGCGUGUGUGAUGAAGGCUUUCGGGUCGUAAAGCACUGUUGUAUGGGAAGAACAGCUAGAAUAGGAAAUGAUUUUAGUUUGACGGUACCAUACCAGAAAGGGACGGCUAAAUACGUGCCAGCAGCCGCGGUAAUACGUAUGUCCCGAGCGUUAUCCGGAUUUAUUGGGCGUAAAGCGAGCGCAGACGGUUUAUUAAGUCUGAUGUGAAAGCCCGGAGCUCAACUCCGGAAUGGCAUUGGAAACUGGUUAACUUGAGUGCAGUAGAGGUAAGUGGAACUCCAUGUGUAGCGGUGGAAUGCGUAGAUAUAUGGAAGAACACCAGUGGCGAAGGCGGCUUACUGGACUGCAACUGACGUUGAGGCUCGAAAGUGUGGGUAGCAAACAGGAUUAGAUACCCUGGUAGUCCACACCGUAAACGAUGAACACUAGGUGUUAGGAGGUUUCCGCCUCUUAGUGCCGAAGCUAACGCAUUAAGUGUUCCGCCUGGGGAGUACGACCGCAAGGUUGAAACUCAAAGGAAUU